UACAUGGGGUGCAAACGUUGCUCGGAAUUAUUGGGCGUAAAGCGCACGUAGGCGGUUCGUUAAGUCGGAUGUGAAAGCCCUCGGCUCAACUGAGGAAGUGCACCCGAAACUGGCGAGCUUGAGUACGAAAGAGGAUCGCGGAAUUCCCGGUGUAGAGGUGAAAUUCGUAGAUAUCGGGAGGAACACCGGUGGCGAAGGCGGCGAUCUGGGUCGAUACUGACGCUGAGGUGGCGGAAAGCGUGGGGAGCAACAGG
rnacentral:rRNA from 1 species